AGGGUUGAAGUUUUUAACACUUGAUUUGCAAUCAAAUAAUUAUUGAAUUAUUUCAAUCUACCUUA
rnacentral:tRNA from 1 species